GACGAACGCUGGCGGCGUGCUUAACACAUGCAAGUCGAACGGAAAGGCCCUGCUUGCAGGGUACUCGAGUGGCGAACGGGUGAGUAACACGUGGGUGAUCUGCCCUGCACUUCGGGAUAAGCCUGGGAAACUGGGUCUAAUACCGGAUAGGAGCCAUUUUUAGUGUGAUGGUUGGAAAGUUUUUUCGGUGUAGGAUGAGCUCGCGGCCUAUCAGCUUGUUGGUGGGGUAAUGGCCUACCAAGGCGGCGACGGGUAGCCGGCCUGAGAGGGUGGACGGCCACAAUGGGGAUGGGAAUCGGCCCAGACUCCCACGGGGGGCAGCAGGGGGGAAAAAUGGAAAAAGGGGGGAAGCCUGAUGCAGGGACGCCGCGGGGGGGAUGACGGCCUUCGGGUUGGAAACUCCUUUCGCUAGGGACGAAGCUUUUUGUGACGGUACCUAGAGAAGAAGCACCGGCUAACUACGUG
rnacentral:rRNA from 1 species